rnacentral:rRNA from 1 species
UACAGAGGGUGCGAGCGUUAAUCGGAAUUACUGGGCGUAAAGCGCACGUAGGCGGCUUGGUAUGUCGGGUGUGAAAUCCCCGGGCUCAACCUGGGAACUGCAUCCGAAACUGCCUUGCUAGAGUAUGGGAGAGGGAAGUGGAAUUUCCGGUGUAGCGGUGAAAUGCGUAGAUAUCGGAAGGAACAUCAGUGGCGAAAGCGGCUUCCUGGACCAGAACUGACGAUCAGGCUCGAAAGCGUGGGGAGCAAACAGG